GGAUGUGAGGGCGAUCUGGCUGUGACAUCUGUCACCCCACUGAUUGCCAGGGUUGAUUCAGUUGAUCUGGCUGGCUAGGCGGGUGUCCCCUUCCUCUCUCACUGCUCCAUGUGCAUCCCUCCUGAAGCUGCGCCCUCGGUUGAAGAGGACGGCCUUCCCCAAAUAGAGACAGACCGGUCUUCGGCCGAGGGUAUACGAGUAGCUGCGCUCCCCUGCAAGAAGCUCUAAACAAGCUCUCAAGGUUCAUGCUUCUUUUGAUCCACACCCCUUGACACUACAUCUGCUGAUCUCAACCAAACCAGUGCAGCCAGUGCCAGCCAUGACAUGUUUCACUUGGGAAUGUGUCCAC
rnacentral:snRNA from 1 species